rnacentral:rRNA from 1 species
GACGAACGCUGGCGGCGUGGAUUAGGCAUGCAAGUCGAACGGUAUCAUCCUUUCGGGGGUGAGAGAGUGGCGAACUGGUGAGUAACACGUAGGUUAUCUACCCUCAAGACGGGGACAACCCAGGGAAACUUGGGCUAAUACCGGAUGUGAGCAACUUUUAGUUGUUUGAAAGGUGGCGUAAGCUGUCGCUUGGGGAUGAGCCUGCGUCCUAUUAGUUAGUUGGUGAGGUAACGGCUCACCUAGGCAAUGAUAGGUAGGCGGCCUUAACGGGUGGUCGCCCACACUGGGAUUGAGAUACGGCCCAGACUCCUACGGGAGGCAGCAGUCGAGAAUAGUCUACAAUGGUCGGAAGACUGAUAGUGCGACGCCGCGUGAACGAUGAAUCCCUUCGGGGUGUAAAGUUCUUUUAUAUGUGAGCAGUGCUUCUUAUAUUAAACAGUAUGGGGAGAGAGAUAUUAGCAUAUGAAUAAAGCAAACGGCUAAACUCCGUGCCAGCAGCCGCGGU